rnacentral:rRNA from 1 species
CACGUAGGGCGCAAGCGUUGUCCGGAAUUAUUGGGCGUAAAGAGCUCGUAGGCGGUCUGUUGCGUCUGCUGUGAAAACUCGGGGCUUAACCCCGAGCCUGCAGUGGAUACGGGCAGACUAGAGGUAGGUAGGGGAGAAUGGAAUUCCCGGUGUAGCGGUGAAAUGCGCAGAUAUCGGGAGGAACACCUAUGGCGAAGGCAGCUCGCUGGGACGGUACUGACGCUGAGGCGCGAAAGCGUGGGGAGCGAACGGG